GGGACUGUGGCUCAGUAGCAGAGUGUGUGUUUGGCGUGCAGAAGGUCGUGGGUUCAAUCCCAGGCAUCUCCA
rnacentral:tRNA from 1 species